AACGUUAGUCAGUUUGCUCCUUGAAUGUUGCCUACCCUGUCUUUCUUUCUGGUUUCGUACAGUCUUGAGUUGCAUUCAGCAACUGUUAUCAUGACACGGCUACAUGUGUCUUCUCCUUUACCUCACCUAUCAAUGUUGUAUGACCAAUCAGCGGCAUGGCAAUAAAAAAUGGAAACUACUAUGAUAGUUACAGAUUGAACAUGGCAUUCAAUAAUUGUGAUACCAUGGGAAAUGUGUAAGAUGACAUUGAUAAUAAAGGGAGCGUAAGAUGCAAAUAUAAUCUAAAAAAUAGAACAUAUAGUACUGAAUUCAUUAUGUCUGCAUCUACUACUGUACUUGGAAGCAAUUUAUUAUGAUUAGUCCUCAAGCUCUCUGAGGAGAAAGCAAUCUCAAGACUCAUGUAUGGAGAUUGAAAGAGCCUCACUUAGCUUAAAAUUCAUACAUCUCUGAUUGGAAGGCUACAUAUUGUACAAACUUAUUGUGUAUAAAACAACUUACAAUGAGAAAGAAGGAGAUCUCUAACAUUUUAUGUACAUUAACAUGUAUGGUUACAGAAAUCACACUCGUAAAAUAUAUUUUUAGCCAGUUUACAUUGGUCCGCCUGACUUACAGCCAUUUUGAAUAUUCAUCAUCUACCUUGUUGACAUGAGAAAACAAAGAUCUGCACAAACAACAUGAGUGGAUGACUUGAUUUUAGUAGACUGAUGCAAACCCAAGAUGUUGGUAUUACUACUCAAAUCAAAACAAAUAGUCAAAGAAUAAUCAAAUUUUAAAUAAGCACCAGCAGCACAAAUGUUCCAAACAAAUCUUUAUAUCCAACCAGCAAAAAAAUUAGUGUGUGACAACGCCUAUGACGUGAACGGCGGCUGCUCACUCGCCAGUGCAACAGAGAGGACAUAGUGCAGCGUGUGGUAACUGAUAAGGCGGCCGGCAGAUUAAUUGUUCAGAGACAAUAACAUGCAAAUUCAGAUAUUUCAAUUAAAUAGGAUUCAGAGAUCGACUUAACUCAAGAUCAUCAGACAAUUGUUUACCAAGACCAUCCUUACGACCACCUAGCCAUCCAUACCGCACACUGUAAAACAUAAAGUGGUACCGAAUCUUGUUAGUUAGGCCAUUCCUCCACAAUGCUUCCUAAUCUCAAAGCAGACCCCAUGUUCAGGUAUACUUUCCAUUGGCGUCCAUAAACUGCAAAGAAAAUUCACACAUACAUAUUCCGGCAUAAGAUAGAUUAACGGGAACAAAAUAACUACACACCAUCUCCUUGUAGAAACUUUCUUAUGUCUGGCUGGCCUUAUUAUCUUUGAUUUAGAAGAACAGGA
rnacentral:lncRNA from 1 species